GCUCUCUGCUGUGGAACCUGACUGACACUGUGCUUUGCCUGUGUGCAGAAGAAGAACAAGGACCAGAUCUCCAGUCUUCUCUCUCACAUCCCAACCCCCCAACCCCUCUAUC